UACGUAGGGUGCGAGCGUUGUCCGGAAUUAUUGGGCGUAAAGAGCUCGUAGGCGGUGUGUCGCGUCGGCCGUGAAAACCCGAGGCUCAACCUCGGGCCUGCAGUCGAUACGGGCAAACUAGAGUACUGCAGGGGAGACUGGAAUUCCUGGUGUAGCGGUGAAAUGCGCAGAUAUCAGGAGGAACACCGGUGGCGAAGGCGGGUCUCUGGGCAGUAACUGACGCUGAGGAGCGAAAGCGUGGGGAGCGAACAGG
rnacentral:rRNA from 1 species